rnacentral:rRNA from 1 species
GACGAACCGUGCGAACGUUAUUCGGAAUCCCUGGGCUUAAAGCGCGUGUAGGCGGGCCAGCACGUCGGGCGCUGAAAUCCCCCGGCUCAACCGGGGAACGGGCACCGAUACGACUGGCCUGGAGGGGAGUAGGGGGACCUGGAACUUCCGGUGGAGCGGUGAAAUGCGUUGAGAUCGGAAGGAACGCCCGUGGCGAAAGCGAGGUCCUGGACGUCUGCUGACGCUGAGACGCGAAAGCCAGGGGAGCGAACGGG